GAGAAGGGAGUUUAAGAGCAGAUAAGAGAACCUGAGCGCGCUGGGGCUAAAGAGAUAAAUGAAUAAAGCCUACAACUCCCAGAGUUCAGAGCGCCUGAAACGCGCUCCCUUCUGGGGUUUGUAGUCUCUGAGCGCUGAGUCUAAAGUAUCCGGGCUAAGGACACCCUUAAAAAAUAAUAAUACUAAUAAUAAGAUUCUAAUUAGAUCUUUUCCCUGUCUUCCUAGUCGGUCACGGAUCUAAAUAGAGAGUAAGAAACAGAGACGUAGCCGGGGACUGGCGGCUGCCUUGGGGACAUCGCUUCGCUAAUCGAUGUUUCCUCAAUCUCGGGAUAGGUAGUCGAUGUGUGCGGGCUGGGCGCGUCUGUGGAGAGGGAACCUCGUGGUGUGAGCGGAGGAAGCCGGAGGCCGGCAGCGGGAGCCUGCCAGCCUUCCCCUGCCCCGGCCGGCCGCGCUUGUCAACAGACGCGUCCUCGUGGAGCGGUCUCGCGUGGGCCUCCCGCCAUGGCACAGCUCCAGGCGCGUUUCUACACGGAGCACAGGAAAUAUGCAGUAGAUGAUGUUCCUUUCUCAAUCCCUGCCGCCUCUGAAGUUGCUGACCUUAGUAACAUCAUCAAUAAAUUGCUGGAGACCAAAAAUGAGCUCCACAAACAUGUCGAGUUCGAUUUCCUUAUCAAGGGCCAGUUUCUUCGAAUGCCCUUGGUCAAACACAUGGAAUUGGAAAACAUUUCAUCGGAAGAGGUUGUGGAACUAGAAUACGUGGAGAAAUACACCGCGCCCCAGCCAGAGCAGUGCAUGUUCCACGAUGACUGGAUCAGCUCGAUUGAAGGGGCAGAAGAGUGGAUCCUGUCUGGUUCUUAUGAUAAGACAUCUCGGAUCUGGUCCUUGGAAGGAAAGUCAAUAAUGACAAUUGCAGGACAUACAGACGUUGUGAAAGAUGUGGCCUGGGUGAAAAAAGACAAUUUGUCCUGCUUACUCCUGAGCGCCUCAAUGGACCAGACUGUCCUCCUGUGGGAAUGGAACGUGGAGAAGAACAAAGUCAAAGCUCUGCACUGCUGCAGAGGUCAUGCGGGGAGUGUGGACUCCAUAGCAGUGGACAGCUCAGGAACCAAAUUCUGCAGCGGCUCCUGGGAUAAGAUGCUGAAGAUCUGGUCUACAGUCCCUACAGAUGAAGAAGAUGAAAUAGAAGAAUCCACAAAUCGGCCAAGAAAGAAGCAAAAAACAGAGCAAUUGGGACUAACAAGGACUCCCUUGGUGACCCUGUCUGGCCACACAGAAGCAAUUUCCUCAGUACUUUGGUCAGAUGCUGAAGAAAUCUGCAGUGCAUCUUGGGAUCACACAAUUAGAGUGUGGGAUGUUGAGUCUGGUGGUCUUAAGUCAACUCUGACAGGAAAUAAAGUGUUUAAUUGUAUUUCCUAUUCUCCCCUUUGUAAACGUUUGGCAUCUGGAAGCACAGAUAGGCAUAUUAGACUGUGGGAUCCCCGGACUAAAGACGGGUCUUUGGUGUCGCUGUCCCUCACCUCACACACAGGCUGGGUAACAUCAGUGAAGUGGUCUCCCACCCACGAACAGCAGCUCAUUUCAGGCUCUUUAGACAACAUUGUCAAGCUGUGGGAUACAAGAAGCUGUAAGGCUCCUCUGUAUGAUCUAGCUGCUCAUGAAGAUAAAGUUCUAAGUGUGGACUGGACAGACACAGGGCUACUUCUGAGUGGAGGAGCCGACAAUAAAUUGUAUUCCUACAGAUAUUCACCUACCACUUCCCAUGUAGGGGCUUGAAAAUGAAUGAUUGAUCAAAGACUGUCUUGUUGGGUUCUGUUUUGUUUUUUGGUUAGUGUCUCACUGUUGUGUCAUAAACUAUGUGAAGGAUACUGCCAACCCUCUCCAGCACCUGGAGAAGGUGAGUGUGGCAGUGCCAUCUGUAAUCCCAGGACCUGGGAGGUUAGCAAGAGGAUCAGAAGUCAUGGUCAUUCCCUGCUGCAUAGUGAAUGCAAAGGCAGCCACGGUUACAGGACACUGUCUCAAAAGAAAGUCAGUGGCUAACCCUCCAGUUCCACUGUCAAUACAGAGACAGGAAGUAGCCUUUUAAAUUGUGUACAAUGGUUCGUCGUCUCUCAUGUUUAUAAAAUACAAUAACUAUGUGACCUGAAUUUCCUACCCUGUGCAGAUCCCAAAAACUUAAUUGACUUUUAAAGAUACGGGUUUGAAAUUAAAAUUUGCCUUUAAAGCGUUAUAAAAAGAUAUAUUACAAAUACA